UGUUAUGGCGGCUGUGCGUGGGAGACCUUCGGGUCUGCCGGGUUUUACUCUUGCCUCGGUUUUCCAGCCCGCGCAUAGCUGCCACCUUU
rnacentral:antisense_RNA from 1 species